GAUGAACGCUGGCGGCGUGCUUAACACAUGCAAGUCGAACGGAAAGGCCAGUGCUUGCACUGGUACUCGAGUGGCGAACGGGUGAGUAACACGUGGGUGAUCUGCCCUGCACUUCGGGAUAAGCCUGGGAAACUGGGUCUAAUACCGGAUAGGACAAUGGUUUGGAUGCCGUUGUGGAAAGUUUUUUCGGUGUGGGAUGAGCUCGCGGCCUAUCAGCUUGUUGGUGGGGUAAUGGCCUACCAAGGCGUCGACGGGUAGCCGGCCUGAGAGGGUGUACGGCCACAUUGGGACUGAGAUACGGCCCAGACUCCUACGGGAGGCAGCAGUGGGGAAUAUUGCACAAUGGGCGCAAGCCUGAUGCAGCGACGCCGCGUGGGGGAUGACGGCCUUCGGGUUGUAAACUCCUUUCGCUAGGGACGAAGCGUAUUUGUGACGGUACCUGGAGAAGAAGCACCGGCUAACUACGU
rnacentral:rRNA from 1 species